rnacentral:lncRNA from 1 species
AACUAAAAAUGAGUGUGCGUACGCGUGGAGAGGGGGAACAAGGCUUCUCUAAUCAGCAAAGGGGCUGUCGGCAGGCGAUGUACAAAUGAAAGCGCGCUUUCUAAAUUUCCAAAGCACUAAAGGGAGAGAAAUGCGCAAUUACUGUGGGAUUCGCCUAGAGGAGCAGCCUCAGGAGUUGAAGGGGAUCCUGUCCCUCCCAGAGGAAAGCUCACGAUUGGAUUGGAACUUCUAGCGACUGCCUGAGGGGCGCGUCCUCCGGGUCAUGGGGAAACAGAGGCAGAGACUUGGGAAGGAGAAAUGGAGAAACCAGGGCAACGCGGUCAGUGCUGCAGCGCCAUCCCUUUUUCACUAAGACCACCCUGGGCCCCUGGGCGGGAAGCCCUUCGCACACUCCAGCCCGGGAGAGUCCAGGCUGGGUUCCGCAGCGCCUGUGGCUGAAUGGCCGGGAGGUUCCUUGCUCUCGCCCGCGUGGUCCUGAGAUCUGUCGCUGGUUCCCACAGGCCCCGGGAUUGGCUGCACCACGCAGCUGUUGUCCAGUUCCGGAGCUGCCGCGUUCGAUCCGAUUCCCUCUGAUGCUUUCACUGAUAUUAAAAUUUCACUUUUCGAA